rnacentral:rRNA from 1 species
GGGAGUGGGGGGGUAGUAUGUCUGGGAAACUGCCUGCAUGGAGGGGGAUAACUACUGGAAACGGUAGCUAAUACCGCAUAACGUCGCAAGACCAAAGAGGGGGACCUUCGGGCCUCUUGCCAUCGGAUGUGCCCAGAUGGGAUUAGCUUGUAGGUGGGGUAACGGCUCACCUAGGCGACGAUCCCUAGCUGGUCUGAGAGGAUGACCAGCCACACUGGAACUGAGACACGGUCCAGACUCCUACGGGAGGCAGCAGUGGGGAAUAUUGCACAAUGGGCGCAAGCCUGAUGCAGCCAUGCCGCGUGUAUGAAGAAGGCCUUCGGGUUGUAAAGUACUUUCAGCGGGGAGGAAGGGAGUAAAGUUAAUACCUUUGCUCAUUGACGUUACCCGCAGAAGAAGCACCGGCUAACUCCGUGCCAGCAGCCGCGGUAAUACGGAGGGUGCAAGCGUUAAUCGGAAUUACUGGGCGUAAAGCGCACGCAGGCGGUUUGUUAAGUCAGAUGUGAAAUCCCCGGGCUA